rnacentral:rRNA from 1 species
UGGAGUUCCUGGAGGCGUUCGGCCCAGCGGUAUGAACUCGGCUCAGAGGCCAGCCCAGCAAUGGGUCUGGAACCCGGGCCGUGGGGAGUGCUGUUUGUGCUGGAUGUACGCUGUGGGCGAUGGUUUCGGGCUUGGGUGGGUGCCGAGCUGGAGGUCGGUGGCGGUCGCGUGCGACACGUGCCAGCACUCAGUUCGGUCCUGCUCGAGCUCACAAGCGCCUGUCCUCGGUGUAAAAGCCGGUCAUCUGUCCGACCCGUCUUGAAACACGGACCAAGGAGUUUAGCGUGUGCGCGAGUCAAUGGGCGUUCAAAACCCAGAGGCGCAAUGAAAGUGAAGGCAUCCCUUGUGGAGCUGAUGUGUGAUCCUGGCCACCACGGUGUGCCGGGCGCAACAUGGUCCCGUUCUGAUCGCUUGCGAUGGGGCGGAGACAGAGCGUACGCGCUGAGACCCGAAAGAUGGUGAACUAUUCCUGAGCAGGAUGAAGCCAUAGGAAACUCUGGUGGAAGUCCGAAGCGAUUCUGACGUGCAAUCGAUCGUCUGACUUGGGUAUAGGGCGAAAACUAAUCGAACCAUCUAGUAUCUGA